CCUACGGGAGGCAGCAGUAGGGAAUCUUNCACAAUGGGCGAAAGCCUGAUGGAGCGACGCCGCGUGAGGGAUGAAGGCUUUAGGGUCGUAAACCUCUUUUCUCAGGGAAGAGCAAGGACGGUACCUGAGGAAUAAGUGACGGCUAACUACGUGCCAGCAGCCGCGGUAAUACGUAGGUCACAAACGUUAUCCGGAAUCAUUGGGCGUAAAGGGUCCGUAGGCGGUUCGGUAAGUCUCCUGUGAAAUCUUCAGGCUCAACUUGAAGAGGUCGGGGGAUACUGUCGGACUAGAGACUGUCAGAGGCAAGUGGAAUUCCCGGUGUAGUGGUGAAAUGCGUAGAUAUCGGGAGGAACACCAGUGGCGAAAGCGGCUUGCUGGGACAGUUCUGACGCUGAGGGACGAAAGCGUGGGUAGCAAACCGGAUUAGAUACCCGGGUAGUCCACGCCGUAAACGAUGAAUGCUUGGUUUUCGGGGUAUCGACCCCCUGUGAGCCGUAGCUAACGCGAUAAGCAUUCCGCCUGGGGACUACGGUCGCAAGACUAAAACUCAAAGGAAUUGACGG
rnacentral:rRNA from 1 species